rnacentral:lncRNA from 1 species
GAAUACUUAUUAUAGUAUGAACGACUCAAGCAGUAGUAAGGUUAAGAAACAAAAGUAAAGUAUCGGAAUUCUUAAUAUUAGUAUGAACAAGUAAAGUAAGGUUGAGAAACAGAGGUAAAAUUUCGGAAAGCUUAUUCUAGUAAGGUUGAAAAACAAGAGUUAUAGGAAAGCUUAAAAUAUUGGAAAACAUUAACUAUCAAAGAUGACAACAAAAUAAAGAAACUAGUAACAAUUGUAUUGAAGUAAAGAAAAUAUUAUUUAAAUAUAGUUGAGAAACAAGAAACAAGAUUUUAAAUUAUAGGAAUCUUAUUUAUAAGUAUAAACGACUAUAAUACUAGUAAGAAUAAAGAACAAGAUUAUAAAGAUCGGAAUACUUAUUAUAGUAUGAACGACUGAAACAGUAGUAAGGUUAAGAAACAUAAAGUAUUGGAAGUCUUAUUAUAGUAUGAACGACUGAAACAGUAGUAAGGUUAAGAAACAUAAAGUAUCGGAAUACUUAUUAUAGUAUGAACGACUGAAGCAGUAGUAAGGUUAAGAAACAUAAAGUAUCGGAAUACUUAUUAUAGUAUGAACGACUGAAACAGUAGUAAGGUUAAGAAACAUAAAGUAUCGGAAUACUUAUUAUAGUAUGAACGACUGAAACAGUAGUAAGGUUAAGAAACAUAAAGUAUCGGAAUACUUAUUAUAGUAUGAACGACUGAAACAGUAGUAAGGUUAAGAAACAUAAAGUAUCGGAAUACUUAUUAUAGUAUGAACGACUGAAACAGUAGUAAGGUUAAGAAACAUAAAGUAUCGGAAUACUUAUUAUAGUAUGAACGACUGAAACAGUAGUAAGGUUAAGAAACAUAAAGUAUCGGAAUACUUAUUAUAGUAUGAACGACUGAAACAGUAGUAAGGUUAAGAAACAUAAAGUAUCGGAAUACUUAUUAUAGUAUGAACGACUGAAACAGUAGUAAGGUUAAGAAACAUAAAGUAUCGGAAUACUUAUUAUAGUAUGAACGACUGAAACAGUAGUAAGGUUAAGAAACAUAAAGUAUCGGAAUACUUAUUAUAGUAUGAACGACUGAAACAGUAGUAAGGUUAAGAAACAUAAAGUAUCGGAAUACUUAUUAUAGUAUGAACGACUGAAACAGUAGUAGGUAAGGUUAAGAAACAUAAAGUAUCUGAAUACUUAUUAUAGUAUGAACGACUGAAACAGUAGUAAGGUUAAGAAACAUAAAGUAUCGGAAUACUUAUUAUAGUAUGUUCAUUAUCGUAUGUUAUAGUCGUUCGACUGAAACAGUAGUAAGGUUAAGAAACAUAAAGUAUCGGAAUUCUUAUUAUAGUAUGAACAACUGAUAUACUAGAAAGGUUUAGAAACAAGAAUUAAAAGUUUCGUAAAGCUUUUUGUUGUUAAGGUGAGAAACGAGUUAAUUUAACAAUUAUCAUGAAGCAUUACCUAUCAAAGAUGACUACAAAAUAAAGAAACAAGUAACAAUGGUUUUUUAAGUAAAAAAAAAAUAUUUUUGUAUAGUUAAGAAACAAGUGUUCAAAGUAUCGGAAGCUUAUUCAAGUUGGUUACGAAACAAGAUUUAAAAGUAUAGGAAAUCUUAUUUAAAUAAAUUUGAGAAACAACAGUUUAAGGUAUGAAAAAGCUUAUUGAAGAGUUAAAAGCAUUGAAAAAUUAUUUCAUAAAGGUUGAGAAAAAAGAGUAAAUAGUAAAGGAAAUAUUAUUAUUGUUAGGUUGAGAAACGAGUUAAAAGUAUUGGAAGGCUCAUUUUAGUAAUGUUGAGAAAUAAGAGUUUAAAGUAUAACAGUAUAGUAGUUAAAAUAUUGGAAAGCUAAUUCAAGUAAGGUUGACGAACAAGAGUAAAGUAACGGAAUUAAUAUUAAAGUAUCAACGACUAAAAUACUAGGAAGGUUUAGCAAUAAGAGUUCGAAGCAUCGAAAAGCUUUUUUUAAUGAGAUAUUAUAAACAAGAGUGCUUUUUCAGAAAAAAAGCUUGAUGUAUCAGAAUUCUUACUAUAGUAUAAACGACUAAAGUACUAGUAACGUUUAAAAUAAGAGCUUAAACUAUCGGGAUUCUUAUAAUAAUAUGUAACUAUAAAAAUUCUAGUAAGGCAUAGAAAAUAAAAGUAGGGGAAUUUUUAAUAUAGUAUCAACGACUAAAACACUAGCAAGGUUAAGAAACAAAGAGUUCAUAGUAUCGGAACGCUUAUUCUACCGAUACUAAGGUUGAGAAACAAGAGUUUAAAGUAUUUUGCUUAAUUCAGAAAGGUUGAGAAAAAGAGUAAAAAGUAUAGGAAAGCUUAUAGUUGUUAGGUUGAGAAACAAGUGUUAAAAGUAUUGGAAGGCUUACUCUAGUAGAGUUGAGAAACAAGAGUAAAAAGUAUAGGAAAGCUUAUAGUUGUUAGGUUGAGAAACAAGUGUUAAAAGUAUUGGAAGGCUUACUCUAGUAGAGUUGAGAAACAAGAGUAAAAAGUAUAGGAAAGCUUAUUGUUGUUAUGUUGAGAAACGAGUCAAAAGCAUUGGAAGGCUUAUUCACUUAAGUAAACAAGUGUAAAGUAUUGGAAUUUAUGUUAUAUCAACGACUAAAUACUAGUAGGAUUUAGCGACAAGAGUUUAUAGUAUCGAAAAGCUUAUUCUAAUGAGAUAAAGAAAACAAGAGCUUAAAGUAUCUGAAAUCUAAUUAUAGUAUAAACGACUUAAGUAGUAGUAAGGUUUAAUAAAACUAACGGAAUUCUUAUAAAAGUAUGAACUGAAAUUCUAGUAAGGUAAAGAAACAAAAGUUUUAAUAAUGGAAUUUUUAAUAAGGUAUCAAUUACUAAAACACUUUUAAGAAACAAAGAGUUCAAUGUAUCGGAGAGCUUAUUCAAGUAAGGUUGAGAAACGAAAAAAAGCUUUAAACUAUAGUAGGUAUAGUAGUUCAAAGUAUUGAAAAGCUCAUUCAAGUACGGUUGAGAAAACAAGAGUUUGGAGUAAAAAUACCUUGUUCCAAGAAGGGUGGAAA